GGCCUCAGGAGAGAGGGACAGAGCCUCUAACAUGCAGGUCAUAAUUUGUGCCUGUCUAUCUGCUUACUUGCUGACCUGUCCAUUCAAAUAAACGGUUGCCCCAUCUGCCUUAUUCCUUGCAUUUGGGUCCAUCCACACUCCGUGAGCCAUACGUAAGACCCUCCUCUGACGUUACACAACACAGAAGCAUCGGCAUCGCAGGGUUGGACAAAGUGGUGGCCGGAUGAAGCUGAAGGCGCAGCCAGCACACUCUUCGUACAUUUCCCGGUCAUGUCAUGGAACGGUGCCCCCGUUCACAGUGGUGGAAUGUGUAAAAGUAGGUGGGGGUAUGCCCCUAAUAGUUGCUUGCAUUCUGCCAUUAAGACAAAUU